UCUGANUUGAGUGCAGAAGGGGAGAGUGGAAUUCCAUGUGUAGCGGUGAAAUGCGUAGAUAUAUGGAGGAACACCNGUGGCGAAAGCGGCUCUCUGNUCUGUCACUGACGCUGAGGCUCGAAAGCGUGGGUAGCGAACAGGAUUAGAUACCCUGGUAGUNCACGCCGUAAACGAUGAGUGCUAGGUGUUAGGCCCUUUCCGGGGCUUAGUGCCGGAGCUAACGCAAUAAGCACUCCGCCUGGGGAGUACGACCGCAAGGUUGAAACUCAAAGGAAUUGACGGGGGCCCGCACAAGCGGUGGAGCAUGUGGUUUAAUUCGAAGCAACGCGAAGAACCUUACCAGGUCUUGACAUCCCGAUGCUAUUCUUAGAGAUAGGAAGUUACUUCGGUACAUCGGAGACAGGUGGUGCAUGGUUGUCGUCAGCUCGUGUCGUGAGAUGUUGGGUUAAGUCCCGCAACGAGCGCAACCCUUAUUGUUAGUUGCCAUCAUUAAGUUGGGCACUCUAGCGAGACUGCCGGUAAUAAACCGGAGGAAGGUGGGGAUGACGUCAAAUCAUCAUGCCCCUUAUGACCUGGGCUACACACGUGCUACAAUGGUCGGUACAACGAGUUGCGAGCCGGUGACGGCAAGCUAAUCUCUGAAAGCCGAUCUCAGUUCGGAUUGGAGGCUGCAACUCGCCUCCAUGAAGUCGGAAUCGCUAGUAAUCGCGGAUCAGCACGCCGCGGUGAAUACGUUCCCGGGCCUUGUACACACCGCCCGUCACACCACGAGAGUUUGUAACACCCGAAGUC
rnacentral:rRNA from 1 species